UAAAGUCGGAAUAGUUCUGUAUAUACAACGACCUACUGUAACAUGUACGGAUUCUCAAGCUACUUUUUGCUUUUCACGGUUCUGGAUCUCGACGUCGUCGCAGUUUCUACAUUCCGCGGGACAAGUGCACAAGCAUGCGUGCAACUACUCAACCCCUCGUUGCACUGGGUCUUGAGCAAGAACAAGCAGUGCAGAACAGUGCGAGAAUCGGUUGAUUUAACUGAGACAGUUAACAAUGAAUAAUGGUACAUCGUGGAGAUCGCGGCCAAAGUGCAACGGACAGACCGCUCUGGUUGGAUAUGGACAUGUUUCGGAGAGGACAAAAAUUCGCACAAAAACACAUCUUCUCGAUCUUCCUCGCUAACAUGCUGUCACUGUUCCAAAUAUUUACUUUUAAAGACAGUCUUAAACCGAUAAUUUUGAUCCGGCAAUCUCACACGUCGUACUUAGCGUUUAAAGUUUAAAAAGUAUACUUGCUGAUCUAUUGCUUGCCGUGUGAGAAACUGGAUGACAGAGGAUCCUUGGACCGAAGGUACAAAGAUUCAUCAAGACAUUCAAGCUGGGAUGCAUCGUGCGAUACGGCUGAAACUUUGCGAGUACGAUCAUGAGGAACUCGAUGCGGCCACUAAAAUCUCGAACCCUGAUGAUGCCGGAAUAGAAAAACAAUCCUAGAAGAUUUUUCUUCCUGUCCGUAUCCGACCGUGGCAAACGGUUGUCUUCAUCUACUGU